GAUAAAAUAAGAAACAAGACCAAAAAAGAAGUUACUAACCUAAACCCACCCCAAACCACUCACCCCCAUCUCUGCCUAACUUCCCUAUUUUUCAUUUUCCCAUUCCAUCGUGAGAUACAAAUUAUAUAGUCAUGUUGAAAGUUACACGAAGAGAUAACUUUUGGAAGUUUCUGAAAGAUGGAGAAGAGAAAAGCAACGUCGAAAGACGAUAAUUUGACGGUCAAGGAGGACAAAAAGGCCAAGAAAGAUCCUAAUAAGCCUAAGAGGCCUCCCAAGUUCAGUGGCAUAUGACAAAUGAUCAUGCAUGCUAUUGCAGCGAGGAAUUAAUUUCAGGAAGACAUUUAAAAAGGAGAAUCCUAAUGUGAAGGAUGUUUCAGAUAUAUCAAACAUGUUGAUGUCCUGAGAUUCGAAAAACAUACAGGAAAAGAAAGGGACUACUUCAAGCUCAUGUAUGUAAAUAAAGUAAAACACGAAGUUGACACUGUAAGUCAGAAAUAAGUGAAAGACUGUAAUCGAUUUACGUAAUUCAUUGGAGUAUUACUUUUUCAAAAAACCUACAAAACAAAUUACAUUUACGUGAAUUGUUUUGGAGAUGAUGA